AGUGAACGCUGGCGGUAGGCCUAACACAUGCAAGUCGAACGGCAGCACAGGAGAGCUUGCUCUCUGGGUGGCGAGUGGCGGACGGGUGAGGAAUACAUCGGAAUCUACUCUGUCGUGGGGGAUAACGUAGGGAAACUUACGCUAAUACCGCAUACGGCCUACGGGUGAAAGCAGGGGACCUUCGGGCCCUGCGCGAUUGAAUGAGCCGAUGUCGGAUUAGCUAGUUGGCGGGGUAAAGGCCCACCAAGGCGACGAUCCGUAGCUGGUCUGAGAGGAUGAUCAGCCACACUGGAACUGAGACACGGUCCAGACUCCUACGGGAGGCAGCAGUGGGGAAUAUUGGACAAUGGGCGCAAGCCUGAUCCAGCCAUACCGCGUGGGUGAAGAAGGCCUUCGGGUUGUAAAGCCCUUUUGUUGGGAAAGAAAUCCAGCUGGCUAAUACCCGGUUGGGAUGACGGUACCCAAAGAAUAAGCACCGGCUAACUUCGUGCCAGCAGCCGCCGUAA
rnacentral:rRNA from 1 species